rnacentral:rRNA from 1 species
UACGAAGGGGGCUAGCGUUGCUCGGAAUUACUGGGCGUAAAGCGCACGUAGGCGGUCUUUUAAGUCGGGGGUGAAAUCCUGGAGCUCAACUCCAGAACUGCCUUCGAUACUGGAAGACUUGAGUCCGGGAGAGGUGAGUGGGACUGCGAGUGUAGAGGUGAAAUUCGUAGAUAUUCGCAAGAACACCAGUGGCGAAGGCGGCUCACUGGCCCGGUACUGACGCUGAGGUGCGAAAGCGUGGGGAGCAAACAGG